rnacentral:rRNA from 1 species
GACGAACGCUGGCGGCGUGCCUAAUACAUGCAAGUAGAACGCUGAAGAGAGGAGCUUGCUCUUCUUGGAUGAGUUGCGAACGGGUGAGUAACGCGUAGGUAACCUGCCUGGUAGCGGGGGAUAACUAUUGGAAACGAUAGCUAAUACCGCAUAAAAUUGAUUAUUGCAUGAUAAUUAAUUGAAAGAUGCAACUGCAUCACUACCAGAUGGACCUGCGUUGUAUUAGCUAGUUGGUGAGGUAACGGCUCACCAAGGCGACGAUACAUAGCCGACCUGAGAGGGUGAUCGGCCACACUGGGACUGAGACACGGCCCAGACUCCUACGGGAGGCAGCAGGAGGGAAUCUUCGGCAAUGGGGGGAACCCUGACCGAGCAACGCCGCGUGAGGGAAGAAGGUUUUCGGAUCGUAAAGCUCUGUUGUAAGGGAAGAACGGGUGUGAGAGUGGAAAGUUCACACUGUGACGGUAUCUUACCAGAAAGGGACGGCUAACUACGUG